CAAUAGCGUAUAUUAAAGUUGUUGCAGUUAGAACGCUCGUAGUCGGAUUUCGGGGCGGGCCGACCGGUCUGCCGAUGGGUACGCACUGGUCGGCGCGUCCUUCCUUCCGGAGACCGUUCCUACUCUUAACUGAGCGGGGGCGGGAGACGGAUCGUUUACUUUGAAAAAAUCAGAGUGUUUCAAGCAGGCAACUCGCUCUUGCAUGGAUUAGCAUGGGAUAAUGAAAUAGGACUUUGGUGCUAUUUUGUUGGUUUCGAACACCGAAGUAAUGAUUAAUAGGGACAGUCAGGGGCACUCGUAUUCCGCCGAGAGAGGUGAAAUUCUCAGACCAGCGGAAGACGAACCACUGCGAAAGCAUUUGCCAGGGAUGUUUNCACUG
rnacentral:rRNA from 1 species